rnacentral:rRNA from 1 species
GACGAACGCUGGCGGCGUGCCUAACACAUGCAAGUCGAGCGGAGAUGAUGUGAGGAAGUUUUCGGAUGGAAUCACAUUAUUUUAGCGGCGGACGGGUGAGUAACGCGUGAGCGACCAACCUUGCACAGGGGGAUAACGGACCGAAAGGUUCACUAAUACCGCAUGAGACCACGGUGUUGCAUGACACAGGGGUCAAAGGAGGAAUCCGGUGCAAGACGGGCUCGCGUCCGAUUAGGUAGUUGGAGGGGUAACGGCCCACCAAGCCUAUGAUCGGUAGCCCACCUGAGAGGGUGAUCGGCCACAUUGGAACUGAGAUACGGUCCAAACUCCUACGGGAGGCAGCAGUGGGGAAUAUUGGGCAAUGGGGGAAACCCUGACCCAGCAACGCCGCGUGAAGGAAGAAGGUUUUCGGAUUGUAAACUUCUGUCCUUGGUGAAGAGAAGAAGACGGUGGCCAAGGAGGAAGCCCCGGCUAACUACGUGCCAGCCGCCGCAGUAA